rnacentral:lncRNA from 1 species
AUUCAACGCCCCGGGCUCAGCCGCGGCUGCGCCCGGAAUCCGGGGCCUCUCCUUCGUGACCCCGGAGUGGGCAAGUGACGAGGGCACGGCCAGAAACGCAUUGGCGUCAAGGAAACCACGACCCAUCUUCCUGGAAGGAAACUUGGGGACACUUAUGAAGAGAAGACUAGGAAGGACCGGAGUAGAAGCACUAAAGGAGGUAGAGGCAACACGCGGUGUUCUUGAAGAGUUUCCAGACAGAUGUAUUAAAUUCCACAGUGUAUCAGGAAAGAGCAAGACCGAAAAUUGCAGUUGAAUUUAGGAAGGAGGCGGUAAUGGAACUUCAGAAGCAAAAUUUCAGGGAGUAGAAAGGAAAAACAAAGUCAGGAGGAGCCUUGCCGGAGAAGCGGAGAUAGGACAGCCCCAGCAUGAGGGUGGCUUAGCACGGGGAGAGUGGUUGCUUUUUUUAUUUUUUUUAGGGGUGCCAUAACAAUGUUGGUGGUCAAAGAGAGGAGAAAUCCAGGUGAACAAAUAGUUGGAAAACAAGAGAGGAGGGAGAUGGGUGGAUAAGGUCAUCUGGAGAAGGUGGGUGAAGAAGAGAUGCAGGAUACAGUAAUUUUCUGGCGUUGUUUGAUCUCCUUGGCCCAUGGCUGACUUACCUGCCCUGUAUCCCUGGCCUGAGCCACUGAAGCGAAAAGUCCCAGGAGCUGGAUAUUGUAAUUGUCAAGAGGUUGGACAUAUAGGAGAGAGAUUGUAUUUAUAGGAAGAUCUGAAGGGAGUGCUGCCCUGACUCAGGAGAAGAAGCUGAAAAGCUGGAAGGAACAUUCAUUCAGAAAGUUUUUGUUGAGCAUCUACUACUUGCCAGCUAUUUUUCCAGGUCUCAGGAUACAGCCGUGAACAAAAUACACUCAGAUAGCUGAUGUCUUAAGGGUGUCAUUCCUUUAUUAGCAGAGAGAGAGCAAAACAAUAAAUGUAAUAAGUAAAUUAUUCAGCAUGUCAGAAGGUUGAUUACGUGUUGUGGAGAAUAAAUUCUGAAAAGGGUAGGGAGAUUGGGGUAGGUCUCACUGAGGGGUGAGGGAGUAAGUGUUACGAAUCCGAGUGCAGACAAAGCAGUAGCCUAAGGCAUGUGCCCAGGGAGGCUCAACACAGCAAGGAGGCCAGUGUGGCUGGAGUAGAAUGAAGUAAGAUGGGAGUGGAGACAAGGAGGCUAAGUCAGGGAAAUAAGACGGGGGAACAAGUGGUUUAGAGAAGUGAGUCUUCUAGUGUGAGCCCCAGAUCUGCAGCCUCAGGUGCUGGGAGUUGUUAGAAAUGCAGAUGCUAAGACCUCAACCCCAGCUUUAUUCAAUCACAGGCUCUGGGGUUGGGGACCAGCAAUUCUCUUUUAACAAUUCUUCCAGAUGAUUCUGAUGGGUGAUGAAGUCCAAGAACCACUGUGGGACUUUGUAGACAAUUGUAAGGACUCUGGCCUGUCCCUGCCCUCCAGCCAGAGACCAUCAGGAACACACCUGUGCUUAAACAAGUUGAGUUCAUUAUUAAUAGUUCUUGCAGUGAGGAAGCAGGUGUUGUGGAGGACCAUUGGGACAGCUUGGUGAGGGUGAGAGAACCUAUUAUAGAAUUUGGGCGAUUUGCGGGAGGGCUCAAGAAAGCCAGGCUUCACCCUGGAUUGGGUGCUGUCAGAAAGCAGGGACAUUUCUGUGACUAGGUAUCUGAAUAAGUAUUGUCUAUAAGAUGGACAGACUAGAGUGAGGAUAAAGCUAUACCUAGUAAAGAAGCAGCAGUCACUCAUAAUAGCAGAGAAGGACGUUUGGUAUUUCAUGGCUUGCACAGUGACCUUGCUCUCUUGUCUCUGCUUAGACACAAUUUUGAAAUGGCCUUGUUGUUGUGUCCCUUUUUUAUAGUCUGACUGACCUUGUCUCAUGUUGGUGUUCUGUGAGAUUAUGUCCCACAGAAGAAUAACUGGGCCAAGCUGUGAGCAUCAGGCCAGCUUCUAACAACCCUGAAGUCUAGCUGUGUCAGACCAGCUCUCAGAUGUCAGGGCCUGCCUCUUCCUUUCUCAGGCUUUUAAUCUGGGAGAAAGAGAAAGCCACUGGGAGGUUUCGAACAGAACAGUGACAUGAUCUGACUGAGCUUUAAAAAAAUAUUAAUAACUCUGCAGUGUUGUGAAGAGGCAGUAGUGUCAGGCAAGAGUAGGCCAGAAGACAAGGUAGGAGGAAGAUUACAGAGAAAAGCUGAUAGAAGGGCUGUUAAGUGCAUCUCAGCCAGAUCUAACCAACCUUAAAACAGUAGAACUGCCAGGGGCUCCAAAUUCUAAUAGAUCCUGCCAGAAAUCCGUGGUAUAAGGAAAAGAUACCAGUUAGCAGCAAGGCCAGAGCAAGAUUCUUCCAUCUUUUAUGAAAGAGCCUUUUAUGAAAGAGGCCUUCCAACCAAACCAAUUCUCUUCUGGUCUAGUCACUAUGCACACUUUAUGCCAGAGAGAGUGUGAGUGAGUGAGUGUGUGUGUGUGUAUGUAGCAUUUCCUUUGUGGAAGGUAUACUGCUAAGAGUUUUAUGUGCUUUAUCUCCGUUCAUCUUCAUAAGACCCUAUGACCUGGAUAGAAUUAUUACCUCAAUUUUACUGAUAAGAAAAUUGAGGUGUAUUGUUAUAUUACCUAUUUUACUUGUUUCUGAGGUUCUGUUGAAUAAGAGAUGUAUUAAUGAUAGCUUUUGGGGGGAGAAGAAAACUACAAAAUUAAACAUACAUACUGAUUUUAACACACCUAUUUGAAAAGAAUGUAAAUGUGAAAUAGAGGAUAUGUAUAUAAUUGUCUCCAUUUUACAGAUAGGGAAACCAAAGACUAAGGUUAAAUUACUGCAGAAGAUGAUGUCAAAGACUGUCUUCCUAAACUACAUGUUAUAGUGCCUCUCACUGUGGGUGAAAUUGUGAUGACACUUUGUGAUUAAUAAUAGUCUAGGAAAUCAGCCAGGUGUGGUGGCUCAUGCCUGUAAUCCCAGCACUUUGGGAUGCCCAGGCAGGCGUAUCAUCUGAGGUCAGGAGUUCGAGACCAGCCUGGCUAACAUGGCGAAACCUCAUCUCUGCUAAAAAUACAAAAAUUAGCUGGAUGUGGCGGCAGGUGCCUUUCAUCCCAGCUCUUUGGGAGGCUGAGGGAGGGAGAAUUGCUUGAAGUUGGGAGGCAGAGGUUACAGUGAGCCGAGAUCUUGCCACUGUAUUCAGCCUGGGCAACAGAGUGAGAUUCCAUCAAAAAAAAAAAGGUCUACAAAGUCUGAAUUAUGUGCUUAUAUUGCUAUGCAGUUACAAGAGAAAGGCUGUGUAGUACUGAAAUUGGCUUUUUUUUUUAAGCCUCUCCCUUGACUUCCAUCCUGACCACCAGGCUACCCUCAUCUCCUGAAACUGGUGCUAUUAGAUCCUAUAAUCCAGUUAGGCUGAAACAUUCACUCUUCCCCAAGUACAUUGUCUUCUUCCUUGCCUCAUACCUUAGUAGCUGCCAGGAGUGUUUUAUUAUACUUUUGUACCUGUCUACCUCCAUCUCCACUCCUCUUUCUGUCCUCAGAUACUGUAAGGCCCUGGCAAAUAGGGGUUGAAUCUCAUUCAUCUCUAUAUUCCCAGUGCCUAGCAUAAUUAUUUAUGCAUAUAUUCCUUCUUAUAUGUAGAAAGCCAGAUAUAAAGAACCUGCAGUGGAAAGUUUGCAGAAUGAAUGAACGUAUAAGGUGAUCAAUGCCUUAAGGAGAAGAAGGUAUAGUGUACUAGUUCUCAGCCUUAUCUGGGCUUCAGACUUUUUUUUAAAACGUCUGUUGAGACCGGGCUCAGUGGCCCACUCCUGUAAUCCCAACACUCUGGGGCUAAGACAGGAGGAUCACUUCGGCCCAGGAGUUUGAGACCAGUCUGUUUUGUAGACCCAACUCUACAAAAAAUUUAAAAAUUAGCCGGGCAUGGUGGUGCACACCUGUAAUCCCAGCUACUUGGGAAACUAGAGCAGGAGGAUCUCUUGCGCCCAGGGGGCUGAGGCUGCACUGAGCUGUGUUUGUGCCACUGCAUUCCAGCCUGGGUGACAGAGCAAGAUCGUGUCUCAAAAAAAAAUCUGUUGAAGAUAUAGACCUGUCCCUGUAUACAUACUCAUGUAUACAGUUUGUUUUGUGUCCAGUUUCUGGAAUGUUUGUAGAUUUACUGAAGUCUGCUAGACCCCAAGUGUCGUUGGUGGGAUCAUAAUUUGCUACAACCUUUGGGCAGAGUAGUCUUGGACCUUUGACCCCAUAAUGCCACAUUGGGAAUCUGUCUUACAGAAAUAAAAGUACUCAGGAUAUAUGUACAAAGAUGUUAAUAAUGUUAAAAGGGGCAAAAAUGUCCCAAACUAAGAAAUGGGAAAAGUGUAUAUGCUGCAUCUUUGUAAGUUUUAGAAAAAACACAAAAAUGGCUUGUUUAAAAUUAGAGCUUGUUUUUUUUUUUUUUUGGUGCUGUACUUCUGAUCUCUCUUUAUACCCUUUGUUGCUUUCAUGAUUAUUGGCCCUAGCAGACAUAUUAGGGGACAAAACCUUGUUAUUCCAGAUAUCACACAUAUAUGUAUUCUUAUCAUAUACUUCUUUUUUUUUUUUUUUUUUGAGAUGGAGUCUUGCUCUGUCGCCCAGGCUAGAGUGCAGUGGCACAAUCUUGGCUCACUGCAACGUCUGCCUCCUGGGUUCAAGUGAUUCUCCUGUUGUAGCCUCCCGAGAAGCUGAGAUUACAGGUGUGCACCACCAUACCUGGCUAAUUUUUGAAUUUUUAGUAGAAACAGGAUUUCACCAUGUUGGUCAGGCUGGUCUCGAACUCCUGACCUCAGGUGAUCCACCCACCUCUGCCUCCCAAAGUGCUAGGAUUACAGGAGUGAGCCACCGCACCUGGCCUAUCAUAUACUUCUUAAAUGUAUAGAACUUAACUGUUGUGUUCAUUGACAGCAAUUUUGUAUCUCAGGUCAUUCUUCCUGAAAUAUCCUUUGUAACAACCUAUGUUUUUAUGAUAUUGUGAAUUAAAACUGCAAUUUUUCUUAAGCUAAUUCUUUUUGUAAGGAUUUUAUUUUAUUUUAUUUUAUUUUAUUAUUUUUUGAGACAGAGUCUCCUCUGUCGCCCAGGCUGGAGUGCAGUGCUGCAGUCUCUGCUUAUUUCAACCUCUGCCUCCCAGGUUCAAGCAAUUCUCAUGCCUUCACCUCCUGAGUAGCUGGGAUUACAGGCACCCGCCACCAUGCCCAGCUAAUUUUUUGUAUAUUUAGUAGAGAUGGGGUUUCACCAUGUUUGCCAGGCUGAUCUCGAACUCCUGGCCUCAGGUGAUCCACCUGCCUCCUCCUCCCAGAGUGCUGAGAUUACAGGCCUAAGCCACUGCACUGGGCCCGUAAGGAUUUUAUACAGCCUCUGCAUUUUCAUACUGUGUCUAAACUUGCAUACUCUUUUUUUUUUUUUUUUUUUUUUUUUGAGAUAGAGUCUCCUCUGUCACCCAGGCUGGAGUGCAGUGGCGCAAUCUCAGCUUACUGCAACCUCUGCCUCCCAGGUUCAAGUGAUUUUCCUGCCUCAGCUUCUCGAGUAGCUGGAAUUACAGGCAUGCGCUACCACACCCGGCUAAUUUUUGUAUUUUUAGUAGAGAUGGGAUUUUGCCCUGUUGGCCAGACUGGUCUAGAACUUCUCAUCUCAGGUGAUCCACCCACCUUGGUCUCCCAAAGUGCUGGGAUUACAGGCAUGAGCCACUGCACCCAGCCUGAACUUGCAUACUUUCUUGUCAUCUUUUUGCUUCCCUGGUUAACAAGAAAAAAAUUGGCCAUGAUUAGAAAUUUGUUGAAGAAAAAAAAUUUUUUUCACCACCAAUACAUUUAUUCAUUUAUUUGCAGGAGAUGGGGUCAAAUCUUACCACUAACUUUUUUUUUUUUUUUUGAGACGGAGUC